rnacentral:tRNA from 1 species
GUAAGUGUAGUUUAACCAAAAUAUUAGAUUGUGGUUCUAAAGACAGGGGUUAAAAUCCCCUUACCUACC